GCAAUGGCGGCGAUGCUAUACAUGCAGUCGAGCGGACAGAUGGGAGCUUGCUCCCUGAUGUUAGCGGCGGACGGGUGAGUAACACGUGGGUAACCUGCCUGUAAGACUGGGAUAACUCCGGGAAACCGGGGCUAAUACCGGAUGCUUGUUUGAACCGCAUGGUUCAAACAUAAAAGGUGGCUUCGGCUACCACUUACAGAUGGACCCGCGGCGCAUUAGCUAGUUGGUGAGGUAAUGGCUCACCAAGGCAACGAUGCGUAGCCGACCUGAGAGGGUGAUCGGCCACACUGGGACUGAGACACGGCCCAGACUCCUACGGGAGGCAGCAGUAGGGAAUCUUCCGCAAUGGACGAAAGUCUGACGGAGCAACGCCGCGUGAGUGAUGAAGGUUUUCGGAUCGUAAAGCUCUGUUGUUAGGGAAGAACAAGUACCGUUCGAAUAGGGCGGUACCUUGACGGUACCUAACCAGAAAGCCACGGCUAACUACGUGCCAGCAGCCGCGGUAAUACGUAGGUGGCAAGCGUUGUCCGGAAUUAUUGGGCGUAAAGGGCUCGCAGGCGGUUCCUUAAGUCUGAUGUGAAAGCCCCCGGCUCAACCGGGGAGGGUCAUUGGAAACUGGGGAACUUGAGUGCAGAAGAGGAGAGUGGAAUUCCACGUGUAGCGGUGAAAUGCGUAGAGAUGUGGAGGAACACCAGUGGCGAAGGCGACUCUCUGGUCUGUAACUGACGCUGAGGAGCGAAAGCGUGGGGAGCGAACAGGAUUAGAUACCCUGGUAGUCCACGCCGUAAACGAUGAGUGCUAAGUGUUAGGGGGUUUCCGCCCCUUAGUGCUGCAGCUAACGCAUUAAGCACUCCGCCUGGGGAGUACGGUCGCAAGACUGAAACUCAAAGGAAUUGACGGGGGCCCGCACAAGCGGUGGAGCAUGUGGUUUAAUUCGAAGCAACGCGAAGAACCUUACCAGGUCUGACAUCCUCUGACAUCCUAGAAGAUAGGACGUCCCCUUCGGGGCAGAGUGACAGUGUGCAUGAUGUCGUCAGCUCGUGUCGUGAGAAUGUUGGGUAGUCCCGCCACCGAGCGCACCCUGAUCUUAGUGCCAGCAUUCAGUGGGCACCUCUAGGUGACUGCCGUGAC
rnacentral:rRNA from 1 species